GCGGGCGUAGCCAAGUGGUUAAGGCACCGGAUUGUGAUUCCGGCAUUCGGGGGUUCAAGUCCCCUCGUCCGCCCCU
rnacentral:tRNA from 2 species